GUGAGGAAUAUUGGGCAAUGGGCGAAAGCCUGACCCAGCCACGCCGCGUGAGUGAUGAAGGCCUUAGGGUUGUAAAGCUCUUUCAGCUGGGAAGAUAAUGACGGUACCAGCAGAAGAAGCCCCGGCUAACUCCGUGCCAGCAGCCGCGGUAAUACAGAGGGUGCAAGCGUUGUUCGGAAUUACUGGGCGUAAAGCGUGCGUAGUCGGUAUUGAGAGUCGCGGGUGAAAUCCCAGGGCUUAACCCUGGAACUGCCUGCGAGACCUCAGUACUAGAGUGUGAGAGGGGAUAGUGGAAUACCCAGUGUAGCGGUGAAAUGCGUAGAGAUUGGGUGGAACACCGGUGGCGAAGGCGGCUAUCUGGCUCACAACUGACGAUCAGGCACGAAAGCGUGGGGAGCAAACAGGAUUAGAUACCCUUGUAGUCC
rnacentral:rRNA from 1 species